rnacentral:lncRNA from 1 species
CCUCGGCCUCCCAAAGUGCUGGGAUUACAGGCAUGAGCCACUGCACCUGGCAACUCUUCCUUUCAUGAAAGACUUCUCCAUGGCAUGCAUGUGAUGCUAUUUUUGACAGCAUUUUAUCCACAGCAAAACUUUCAAAACUGAUGUCCCUCCUCUCAAACCCUGCUGCUGCUUUAUCAACUAAGUUUCUGUAACAUUCUAAAUCCUUUGUUGUCAUUUUGACAAUGUUCACAGCAUCUUCGCCAGUAGAUUCCACCUCAAGAAGCCACUUUAGGAUGGGCGCGGUGGCUCACGCCUGUAAUCCCAGCACUUUGGGGGCCAAGGUGGGUGGAUCACCUGAGGUCAGAAGUUUGAGACCAGCCUGGCCAACGUGGCGAAACCCUGUCUCUACUAAAAACACAAAAGUCAGCUGGGUGUGGUGGCAGGUCCCAGUAGUCCCAGCAACUCAGGAGGCUGAGGCAGGAGAAUCC